ensembl:lncRNA
CCACUGCUAGGAGGGAUUGCUGGGUGUCAGUUGAAUGGAAGGUGAGACACUGUGUUGCCAGUGGACCAUCAGCAGAUCAAAGUGGAGACGUUUCUAUGCUGGCUCUCUUCAUGCUUUGUCCUUGUGGUCUGGAACUGGCAGCAUCUGCAGCAACUGUGCCUCCAGCUUUCAAGUCCAUGGGGCCAGACUCAUCCUGAGGGGCACAGUGCCAGUCUACUCAUCAUGAGGAAGUCCAAAGGGUCUGCACCACUGACAAUCUUACUGAGCAUGAAAUGUUUGGACAAAAUUUGUUAGUGACUAUCGAAGAACCAGCUGCAUGGGUUCACAUGAAGAGCAGUCACCCAUUAGCAGCUACCUCGUGGGAAGGGCAGCCAAGUACCUGGCUCUCAUUUUAUAACGUUUUCAGGCAAAGACCAGCAGGAUUGGAAGAAUACUGUUCAGUACCACUCCAAGCUGUCUGCACUUCUUGGUUCUAAUCUAAAUUGCAGGAAGGGAGGACAAAUCUCCAUGCUCAUAGUAGCAGAAUGGGGAUUAGACCUCUCCUGUCUAUUAAAGUGUUCUGGGAAAUACAUUUUUAUAGCUCUCUGUAAACAAGAUUUACUGUAGGUGGUAAUUUCAAUUGAAGAUAAGUUUUAGUGCUGCUGUACACAUAAAGAUUUUUUAACAGUAGGAUAUAUCUGACAAACACAGGGAUGAGAGUGUGGGACACCUUCUUAGUAUGCUAUAGGUAUCCUCAGUGAACAUAUAUUGACUCCUCUGCAGUUGCAUAAUAUAGAAGUAUCCAUCGAUCAAAAGCAGAGGUAAUACCUAAGAAUGACACAGCCUAAGUCAUGGCAAGUGUACUCAAUGCAUUGGAAACUGAUGUUGCCUCCUGUUGAUAUGAGACUGACAAGUACCUAUGUACACUAUCAGGCAUAUCUCUGGCUGAAAGCAAGAUUCUUUUCCUGACUCAGCUCUUGUAGAGGGUUACCUACAGUUGAAGUUAACACUGAGAAUCAAGAUUUGGAAAUGUUAAAUCCCUUCCCACUUUACUUUUGGCUACUAGAGGUCACUAGGCAUAGGAAAAAGUGAAAUGAUGGAUGAGUUGAUACUUGCGCACUCAACAAAGAAAUUACAAGAGUAAAUUCUGGCUGAGCUCAGCAAAAUAAAAUCUCUACGGUACGACUCUCCCCAUGUCCUUCUGCUUGGGCAAUCAUUUAUAUCUAAUAACAGUUUAGAAGCUGAUUCUUCUUACAACAAAUCCAUUGAACGGAUCUCAAGUACCUCUGACAGAGGAAAGAUUUGAGGUAUUCACUCACUUCUGGAAAGGCACAUUGUACCACUACCUGGCAUUGCAUAGGACUCUGUUUGGCAUGAAAUUUUACUGUAUUAGGUAGAAGCAAGCAGAAUCAUCAAUCCUUUCUUGUUUUACAUUUUUACUUUUACUUUAGUGUACCACAGGGGUACACUAAUGGGGAUAAUGUUUCUGUUCUUCCAUCUCAUUUUGAGGGUUUUGAUUGUCAGGAUGAAGAGAAAUAGCUGAUUGUUUUAAAUAUUUAAAUAAUUCUCUACUUUGAGCAGCUUUGUAUAUACUGAAAAUUUAAAUUCAUCAUUCCUGAGUUAAUUGUUUGACUGUUAGUUCUUUUUUUUCCACAUGAAUGUUAGAACAUGACCAUAUGUGUCAUUUUUAUAGCAGAUGAAAAAGGUUUAGUAUUUGCAUAAGUUCAACAUUGGGACAAUAGGUGUAUUUACUAUUUACAUAAACAGGUACUGAAAUUGUUGCAAUAAGUAAUUUUUUACUGCCACCUUGUGGUGCUGCUAACUUCUGCUG